UAACGAAUCUUCCGCAAUGCACGCAAGUGUGACGGAGCAAUACCGAGUGCAGGACGAAGCCCCUCGGGGUGUAAACUGCUAAAAGAAGCUAACAAGUUCUGAGUAACUUCUGAUAAGGGGCGACUAACUCUGUGCCAGCAGUCGCGGUAAUACAGAGGCCCCAAGCGUUAGGCGGAAUCACUGGGCUUAAAGCGUGUGCAGGCGGUCCCGCAAGUACCUUGUGAAAGCCCACGGCUCAACCGUGGAACUGCUCGGUAUACUGCGGGACUUGGAUCAUCCAGGGGCGAGCGGAACUCACGGUGGAGCGGUGAAAUGCAUAGAUAUCGUGAGGAACGCCAGAGGCGAAAGCGGCUCGCUGGGGAUGUAUCGACGCUCAGACACGAAAGCUAGGGUAGCGAACGGGAUUAGAUACCCCCGUAGUCC
rnacentral:rRNA from 1 species